UAGGAGGUCACUGCUCCACGGGCGUGAUUAGUGAGUGGCCCAGGAGAGCUGCGAGGGGAGGGUCUUGCAGUUACUGCCAGUGUGAACUCUGGAGGCCGGCGACGUCUCAGAAGAACCAGCGCUGCGGACCCCAAAAUUUGCCCGGGCCCUGGCCGCGCUCAUUUCUGCUUCAGUGACUUCGUUGUAUCACUUUCUCUUUUUUCCCGUGGGCCCUUUUGGUCCCUCCCUGCCUGUUCGAGCCCAGGAAGCUGCAUUUCGCAGAUACUCAGCUCGAGGGAGAAAAUUUUUCCGGUAAUUAAGCUGUUCCUUCUCGUUGGUAGCGGUCCGUUGAUGGGAGGGGUUUAAAGUCACUUGGUGUUUUGACAAAAUUUGUUACUGUUGCUAAAAACGUCACAACUAAAUUUUGAGGGAGAUAACUUCUUGCGAACCUAAACUUUGGGAUUACUUCUGAGCUUGAAGAGGAAAGGUAGAGAAACAUCAAUGUGUGAGAGAA